rnacentral:lncRNA from 1 species
GGUAAUUGAUUUAAACAGAGAGAAGCUGUAGUUUUGGCGGGGUAUCUGUAAGGAUAGCUCAUUCUACUAUAGUCACAGAAUUGACUUUUUUGGAAGAUGGCUAGAUUCUUGGAUGGAUUGAGUAUUUAUUAAGCACUGACCAGGUGCCAGGUCUGGGGAUAAAUGCUGGGGAUCCCAAAACCUUUCAGUUUACUGAUGGAUAAGGAGUCUUUCCCCUGGAAAUAAUUCAUCACCAAUUUUCCAAGUGCAAUUCAGACUUGUUUGAGCAAAUAAGAGUGGUCAGCACCAUGGCCAGAGAAGGAUAGAGGAAAAGUGAAAAGCAUGGAGUACAUACAGUCUGCCCAGAAUCUUGAUUCCAUCCAAGCUUUCAACUGAAUGCCCGUCGUAAUGGCAUGGCUCCAGAUCCCAGGACAAACUAAGUAGGCCCAAAACAAAGUAUUCAUGAGCAUCCAAUGAAUUAGUCACUUUGCUUCUCAAAAGCUCUAGCAGCUUGGUCAGCUUUCUCCCCUGAGAGCAAUGGAUGUAGAUUCCCUUCCCAACAACUCUCUGAGUCACCGUGGCUGGAUAAGGAAACUAAGUCCCAGAGAAGUCAAUUGGAUUGCCCAAGUCUGCAGAGCUAAUAAGAAGAAAAGCAAGAACUUGAACUGAGGGCUUCUGACUUUAGCAGCAUUACUCUUUGUUUAUUGUUUCACAUUGAAAAGAAAGGAAUUUGAGUUUGAAUGUUGUCUGUCUGGUAUCUGGCUGAACCAAUGACUUCUUCUCCUUGAGCAGAACCUACAUAAAACCAACUACAUUAACCUGCAUGAAGACAAUUGUAUACAGUCGAAAGAAGA